AACGAACGCUGGCGGCAUGCCUAACACAUGCAAGUCGAACGAGACCUUCGGGUCUAGUGGCGCACGGGUGCGUCACGCGUGGGAAUCUGCCCUUGGGUUCGGAAUAACAGUUGGAAACGACUGCUAAUACCGGAUGAUGACUUCGGUCCAAAGAUUUAUCGCCCAGGGAUGAGCCCGCGUAGGAUUAGCUUGUUGGUGAGGUAAAGGCUCACCAAGGCGACGAUCCUUAGCUGGUCUGAGAGGAUGAUCAGCCACACUGGGACUGAGACACGGCCCAGACUCCUACGGGAGGCAGCAGUGGGGAAUAUUGGACAAUGGGCGAAAGCCUGAUCCAGCAAUGCCGCGUGAGUGAUGAAGGCCUUAGGGUUGUAAAGCUCUUUUACCCGGGAUGAUAAUGACAGUACCGGGAGAAUAAGCCCCGGCUAACUCCGUGCCAGCAGCCGCCGUAAAAC
rnacentral:rRNA from 1 species